GAUGAACGCUGGCGGCGUGCUUAACACAUGCGAGUCGAACGGUGAAGGCGGAGCUUGCUCUGCUGGAUCAGUGGCGAACGGGUGAGUAACACGUGAGCAAUCUGCCCCUGACUCUGGGAUAAGCGCUGGAAACGGCGUCUAAUACUGGAUACGAGCUGCGAAGGCAUCUUCAGCAGCUGGGAAGAAUUUCGGUCAGGGAUGAGCUCGCGGCCUAUCAGCUUGUUGGUGAGGUAAUGGCUCACCAAGGCGUCGACGGGUAGCCGGCCUGAGAGGGUGACCGGCCACACUGGGACUGAGACACGGCCCAGACUCCUACGGGAGGCAGCAGUGGGGAAUAUUGCACAAUGGGCGAAAGCCUGAUGCAGCAACGCCGCGUGAGGGACGACGGCCUUCGGGUUGUAAACCUCUUUUAGCAGGGAAGAAGCGAAAGUGACGGUACCUGCAGAAAAAGCGCCGGCUAACUACGUG
rnacentral:rRNA from 1 species